rfam:Triticum aestivum genome assembly, contig: Triticum_aestivum_CS42_TGACv1_scaffold_621702_7DS
UAGAUGUCCCCUCCGUCCAAAAAUACUUGUUAUCAAAAUGGAUAGGAACAAAUAUAUCUAAAUCUAAAAUAUAUCUAAAUAUAUUUUCUUUUAUCUAUUUUAAUGACAAGUAUUUCCGGAUGAAGGGAGUACUGU